GGUGUUGUUUCUCGAGCAGCGGCAGUUCUCACUACAGCGCCAGGACGAGUCCGGUUCGUGUUCGUCCGCGGAGAUCUCUCUCAUCUCGCUCGGCUGCGGGAAAUCGGGCUGAAGCGACUGAGUCCGCGAUGGAGAAAACUUUAGAAACUGUUCCUUUGGAGAGGAAAAAGAGAGAAAAGGAACAGUUCCGUAAACUCUUUAUUGGUGGCUUGAGCUUUGAAACCACAGAAGAAAGUUUGAGGAACUACUACGAGCAAUGGGGAAAACUUACAGACUGUGUGGUUAUGAGGGAUCCUGCAAGCAAAAGAUCAAGAGGAUUUGGUUUUGUAACUUUUUCAUCCAUGGCUGAGGUUGAUGCUGCCAUGGCUGCAAGACCUCAUUCAAUUGAUGGGAGAGUGGUUGAGCCAAAACGUGCUGUUGCAAGAGAGGAAUCUGGAAAACCAGGGGCUCACGUAACUGUGAAGAAGCUGUUUGUUGGUGGAAUUAAAGAAGAUACUGAAGAACAUCAUCUUAGAGAUUACUUUGAGGAAUAUGGAAAGAUUGAUACCAUUGAGAUAAUUACCGAUAGGCAGUCUGGAAAGAAAAGAGGCUUUGGAUUUGUUACCUUUGAUGAUCAUGACCCUGUGGAUAAGAUUGUGUUGCAGAAAUAUCAUACCAUCAAUGGUCAUAAUGCAGAAGUAAGAAAGGCUUUGUCUAGACAAGAAAUGCAGGAAGUCCAAAGUUCUAGAAGUGGGAGAGGAGGCAACUUUGGUUUUGGAGAUUCUCGUGGUGGUGGUGGAAAUUUUGGACCAGGACCAGGAAGUAACUUUAGAGGAGGAUCUGAUGGAUAUGGAAGUGGUCGUGGAUUUGGGGAUGGCUAUAAUGGGUAUGGAGGAGGACCUGGAGGUGGCAAUUUUGGAGGUAGCCCUGGUUAUGGAGGAGGAAGAGGAGGAUAUGGUGGUGGAGGACCUGGAUAUGGCAACCAGGGUGGGGGCUACGGAGGUGGUUAUGACAACUAUGGAGGAGGAAAUUAUGGAAGUGGAAAUUACAAUGAUUUUGGAAAUUAUAACCAGCAACCCUCUAACUAUGGUCCAAUGAAGAGUGGAAACUUUGGUGGUAGCAGGAACAUGGGGGGACCAUAUGGUGGAGGAAACUAUGGUCCUGGAGGCAGUGGAGGAAGUGGGGGUUAUGGAGGGAGAAGCCGAUAUUGAGCUUCUUCCUAUUUGCCAUGGCAUUGAUAUGAACCAUGGACAAGUAUAUUCUGCUGCCACAAAGACUGUAAAGUGCUUCAUUUCAACAGCUGAGGCGCAAGCCAAGUGAUCAUUAAUAAAGCUUUUCUUGGUUCCUUCAGUGGUGUUGGUAGUAAAAUGGAUUUCUUUCUUGGCUUGCAAGUUACAUAAAUCGUCUUCAAGAUUCAGAAUUAUGUCCAGUUUGCGUUUACGACAGUUCUGAGCAGCAACUUUAUUUUUCCCUCUUCUUCUGAUAUCACGGAUGAGUGACACUUGUAAAUCUGUCAGGUAGUGCCUGCUUAGCAUGUUGUUGAAAGAAUCAACGGGCAUACGGACAAUUUCAUCUACGGAAAAAGGGAUAUGCAGAGCCUUAGCACGCCGCUCAUCACGGCUUAAGUUUCUGUCUGUGUCAUUGAGGUACUUACUUAUUUUCUGUGACUUCCCAUGCCAUGAAAAAGAUCUAGAAGUGGAAUCUAGAGCACUUGGCUGUAGGUGGUAAGUGUGGUUAUGAUAAAUGUGUUGAAAUGCAAGGUCCCCAUGAAAACCAGUAUCACUCCUAUGGUCCAUGUGACAAAGCUUACUGGGCUCUGGGUAGUACCCUCCUACAGCUCCUUCCAAGUCACGGUGGAAAAGAGGUUCAAGAUCACUACUACAACCUGUAGCACCUUCACACACAGACCGAGAGGAAUUAGACUUGGUGACAGAGGUACUAUUGUGGCUUGAAUUUAGGGAAAGCCCAGAAUCUGAAUCUGGUUCUUCAAAAAGCUGAGACACUUCCAUUGGAUCAAAACCUGUGGCCAAAGACAUUAAAUUUAUCUCAUCAAAUAUGUUUAUAUCGAGGUCAUGUAGAAGAUCUUGACUUGUUAGAUUCCUCAUCUGAUUGCCAACAAGGGGAAGAAAUCCUGUCAGAUUAGUUCCAGGAGGGGUCUGUUCAGGAUUGGUAGUAUGAGAAUUUAACUGCAGAAAUGGUUCUUGUGGUUGUGAAGUCCUUGCUACUGGUUCUCUUCUAAAUGUAUUGUCAGGACACAGCAACAUGGCCUCAUGGAGAUUCACAUCGUGACUUAUAGCUUGGCUAAAGUUUACAUUAUGUGUUGAAGAAUUCAUGCCAUCACUGAUACUUCCUGGAAAAAUAUUUCCAAGGGAGAUGCCCUGAGAAGGGAAAAAGAGCAUUUUAAAUACACAACCUUAUUUCAGUAGCAGUUCCAGUAACAAUAGAGCACUCUUUCCUCUCUUGUCAGUUCCUCUCUAUGGUUACCUAUGAAUCAAUCACUUACUAAACCUAGACAAAUACAAUAUGCAAUGUGAGCCCAAAUCUGAAUGAUGGCAUAUUUGGGGAAAGAUUUUUUUGUAUAUACUGAAAAUUCAGAAAGUUUGAUUCAGUUAAUAUAAAAGUUGGUCUUGCUAUUAAUUCUAAUAUUACUGUAACUUGCUGCUUUAUAGAUGCAAACAAUCAACCUAGCUGUUAAGCUUUAAGUCCACAUUGAAGUCUCUGGGCGAGGUGGGUGGGUAUUCUGGUUUUCGGGGGGUUUUUUUGUUUUUUAAAGUAAAUCAGACCAGCAUAGUAAGAGUAUGGUCAAGAUAUAAAUGCUACCAGAAAAAUAAUUAUGCCUUAGUUUGUCAUGUUUACUGUUUUGUUUUUCAUUUAUCAACAGCACGAGCAGGGGAGGAGGGACAGGAGAAGCAGAAGCAGGCUCAGGGAGCCUGAUGCGGGGCUUGAUUCCAGGACCUUGGGAUCGUGACCAGAGCCAAAGGCAGAGGCUUAGCCGACUGAGCCACCCAGGCGCCCUUACUUACUGUCGUUUUGAUUCAGUGAAUCCUAAAUUUAACUAUAUCCUUGUGAUCAUUUAGGAGGAGGAACAGUAUACAUAUUUGGUUAAUUCUCUAAAAUUGAAAGUAGUUCUAUAAAAAGUAAUCCUAAAUCUGUGCACUUACAUAAUGCAGUACUGUUACAGAACUAUUACUCCGUCAUAAACUGUGUCAUCCCAUUAAAGAGGUUAAACAUAUUCACGAUCAGUGCACAUUUUCCUACAAAGAUAAAAACCAAGGUUCCAAUUACCUCCAGUGAAUUUUCAGGCUGUGAUGAAAGCAUCUGAAAUAAGUCUUCCAGAGAGAGAGCUGUUUCUGUCCCAUUUAGAGAUCUCUAGAAAAAAAUGUAAGGUGCACCAUUAAAUUAAAAGGCAGAGGAGGUUGCUUGGGGCUUUAGGCUUAAUCUUGAAAGGAUAACCAGGUCUUUUCUCCAUUCUGGAUUUUUUAUCCCUAUUUUGGAAUUUUUAAAUUCCUCUUUCAGUAUCUGCCCCCCCCCCCCAUUCUUGCCCUAACCAUCUUUCAUAUUUUUGGCUAGUAUUCUUUGUUUGACCUUAUUUUUUACCAUGGCUAAUAACCCUCCAAAUUGGUUACAACAUUAUGUAAUUUUUACAAGUCAAAUACAUACUUAGAUUUACCAAAAUGUUUUGCCAACUUCACUCAUUAUUGCUUUAUCCCAGCCUUCAGGUUUGUUUCUUGUUGAAAUAACUCCUUUGACAGCUCUUUUUAGAGAACUCAGUUUUUAUAACCUGGAGUUAUUUUGCUUUCAUGCUUAAACAGUGAUUUGGUGAGAUGAUCAGGUUUAAUGUUUUCCCUUUGUGCUUUGCACUAAGGCAUGUAUUGCUACUGAUGUCAGUCUGUCAUUUAUAGCCAAUUUUUUUUCUCCAGUAAUUUUAGAGGUUUUUUUCUUUGUAGUCUUUGUUGUCCUAUUUCACUUUGAUGUAUUGGACUUAAUUUGUUUUUUAUUUAUUCUGCUUGGGACUCUGUACUCCUUUAAUCUGAGUCCUAAAAUCACUUUAAUCUUCAAAAUACUUUGUCAUCCCAUUAAAGAGGUUAAACAUAUUCACGAUCAGUGCACAUUUUCCUACAAAGAUAAAAACCAAGGUUCCAAUUACCUCCAGUGAAUUUUCAGGCUGUGAUGAAGACUGCUUCACCUUCAUACUUUCUAGUCUUUUCUGGGACUCCUACUAGAAAUAAAUUUUCUCAUUCUGUCUUAAUUUUUAUAUUUAAGGGUGAGCUCAUCUUUGUUGGUAACUGUUUCUGUAGGAAUCCUAUAUACCAAGGGUUAGCUGCUAACUAUAAAAACAAUUUUUUCUCUGCAAGGAUCAACUGCUCAGGAUUCCUGAUAGUAAUGGUAGUGUGGAUUCAGACUCUAAAAUGUUGGGCUCAUUUGGGGUUCUGAUCUCUAAGGAUGGAUAGACUGCUUCCUUGCUCUUGUCUCCUAGGUGGUGGCUAGGAUUGUCCUAGUCCCAUCUCCUGAAGAGUCUUUAUAAAUUCUGAGCUUUAAGUGGGGAAUUUAGGUAACCCCCAGGUAUGGGCUUGAGACCUUGUUCCUCGUCUAUUCAACCCCAGUCUCUGUCAUGAAAUGACAUCUGUAUCCAAUUUUUCAUUAGGGCUUCUUCAGUUUUGGGGUCUGGUUAUCUUUUAAAUUCUGGAUUUGAGGGGCACCUGGGUGGCUCAGUCAUUAAGCAUCUGCCUUCGGCUCAGGUCAUGAUCCCAGGGUCCUGGGAUCGAGCCCCACAUCGGGCUCUCUGCUUGGCAGGAAGCCUGCUUCUCCCUCUCCCACUCCCCUUGCUUGUGUUCCCUCUGUCGCUGUCGCUCUUCUCUGUCAAAUAAAUGAAUGAAAUCUUAAAAAAAAAAAGUUCUGGAUUUGAGUAGCCUCUUUGCUUCUAGCAUCUACAGAGUUCCCUUUCUUGCUUUCGAGUUCCACUAUGCACUUAAAAAAUAUUUUUAUCCAGGAUUUCUGGUUUUGGUCUAUCGGGUUUUAUCUUUACAUUUUAGGAAGCUCACAUUCCUGACUCCCCUCCCCUAGCUUUGUACUAAAGGGUUUCCUUUUUUGAGGAUUCAGGCCAGUUAGACUUGUUUUAAGUGUAUACUUGGUUUCCCUUCCCACCAAAUACCAUGUUUUCAAGGCCCAUAGUACAACAAAUACAAGGCUUUCUGUGUCUAUGGAUGCUAUAGGACCAUCUGAGCUGAACUGGUGGAUAAGAUUUCUUCAUUUACUAGCAAAUCGUAUAUACAUUCUUAGUGGGCUGGAGACUUACUUGCUAACAUGACUGUUAAUUCAAAAUGAUUUUUAAUUUCUUAAAUUUCAAAAGUGUUCUACGUCCAUUAAUGAUCCCAAACUUGAGACAUUAGUCCUGGCCCAACGAUUGACCAAAAUUUGCAGAUGGUCACAAGUGUGUGAGUAUCAGAAGUAUACAGGAGUAUCAGCACAAAUCUGGAUUCCUGUGAAAAUCCUAAAUUGUGGGUAAAUAAAACUUUGCAGAAAGGAAAGCCUUAAUAUUUAGAACAGAGGUAAGGGUAUGAAGCCCAUUCUGCUUUAAGUGAGUUAUGGACUGAUCCUUCAGGCUAGUCACAUACAUUUCAUUAAACCUUUGUUUGUUCCCUUCUUCAGUGCCCCUGGAGAUGGCAAACUGAGGAGCUAACUCCUACUGAGCCAGGCCCCUGGCUAGGUCCACAGGAGACACGGAUCUGAGAUGGGAGGGACAGAUGUGCCUUAGAACUGAGCACUCAUUCUUCCCAGAUUCCCUUCUGCCCUGAUGGGGGUAACGGCUUCAUGUUGCUAUUGGUCCUUGAGAGUUUCCUUAUUCUUUGAUGUUUCCCUUAAACAUGCCCUCCCCUCUUUUUUUUUUUUAAGAUUUUAUUUAUUUAUUUGAGAGAGAGAAAGAGAGAGAGCACAUGAGAGGGGGGAGGGUCAGAGGGAGAAGCAGACUCCCCGCCGAGCAGGGAGCCCGAUGUGGGACUCAAUCCCGGGACUCCAGGAUCAUGACCUGAGCCGAAGGCAGUCGCUUAACCAACUGAGCCACCCAGGCGCCCCGCCCUCCCCUCUUAAACAAUGAAAACCCCUUAUUUCUCUUCAGAAUCUCAUCAGAUGUGUUACAUGCUUUCUAGUUGAGGGCCUUAACAUCUGAAGUCCAUAUGACAGAGUUCUUUCUACUACACUUAAAUUAUAAAGAACAAUUUUUUUGAGAUAUUAGCUCUUGCACAAAAAUGGACAACUAAGCCAUUAUUUCAGUUAAUCCACGAGACACAUUCUAUACGUUGUGAUUUUUUUUUUUUUUAAAUUUUAUUAGACACAGCACAAGCAGGGGGAGUGGCAGGCAGAGGGAGAGAAGCAGGCUCUCCCCUGAGCAAGGAGCUCCAUGUGGGACCUGAUCCUAGGACCCUGGGAUCAUGACCUGAGCCUAAGGCAGAUGCUUAACCAACUGAGCCACCCAGGUGACCCCUUAAUGGUAAUUUAGAUUGCCAAGAAAUGGUCAGUCUCUUUUUUAAGUCAGAUUCUUAGAAUUUUUCCUAAAACUUUGUGUUAAAUUUAAACACAUGGUUCCCCAUCUGGGGCAGGUCAUUGGCUGAGAGAGCCAUCAGGGCAAGACCUGCAAGGGUGCACCUUCUAAGUGGAAGUGCCAAGUGGGUUAAGGGUCUGUGGAACCUCCAGGCCUGUCUUUGGAGUGGACUGGGAUGUCCGA